GAGGCCGGCCCCCAGGGGCCUCUCACGCAGCGCAGGCGCUUUAAGGCUGAGAGGUGAGCAGAUCUCGCAGGGAGAUCCCGAAGAAGAGGCAGAGAGCCGCCCGCGCCAGCUGUCACUGUUCCAGUGCGUGGCCAUGUUUCCCUUCAGAUAAUAAAUGUCAUCAAGUUUGGUCACACGGGUAUUAAAUCACAUUCAAGCACCUGUUUACCUGCAGCAAUGAAUGAGAGUUCCUGUUGCUCCAUCACUAGCAUCUGAUGCUGUCAGUGUUCUGGAUUUUGGCCAUCCUAAUAGAAAAGUAUGUCACAGGUAAAGGCCUGGAUUAAUCCUAGUCUGUUGGGGAGAUGGAGGAAACCGCUCAAAGCCCCACAUCUAAAACUGUGCAGUUUAGAAGGCCAAGAACAAAAGUGGGAAGAAAGUCAAUCCAGAACUUCAACCCAGGAUCUCUCUCUCUGCGGUGGCUGCAAUAACCUCCUAAUCAAUCACCCUGCGUCCACUCUCAUUUCCCUGGUCUGUUCACAGAGCCGUCAAAGUGAUGCCCUCAAAUGUGAGCCUGGCUGUGCCACCCCUACUCAUCGUCCAGUGAUCCAUCUGACUAUAAUAACUCCAGUUCUUCCCUGUGCCUCAAAGUCCUGCGUGGUCUGGCCCCAAGGCCUCUUGUGGCCUCAUUCUCACCUUCCUCCCCUCACUCACUGCAUUGUAGCCAUGCUGGGCUCUGCACUCUUCCUCAAACACCCUGGAUACUACCCUUGCCCUGAAACGUUGCCCUUGGAAAGUUCUCCUCACCCACAGCACAUGCCUCCAAUGUCC
rnacentral:lncRNA from 1 species